GUCCCGGUAGCUCAGUCGGUAGAGCGCAUGACUGUUAAUCAUGAUGUCAGAGGUUCGAGUCCUCUCCGGGACG
rnacentral:tRNA from 1 species